ensembl:lncRNA
CAGUUCUACCAGAAAGACUCAGGGAGGUAGAGAUAAGACUGAAGUAUUUAUUUACAACAACACAAAAAAUAUAAUUAUUUUGGCGUAGGCCCCAUCCGUAGCGUGGAUCUGAAGUUUGUAGAUACCAGCUAAUCCUGCCGAAGACGAAGGCAGGGCGGAGCCUACCCCAAAAGAAAGAAGAAUAAUGUAAUACGCACCAGAUGAAGUAUUUCUUAGAGGAUCCUGGAACAUGAACGAAAGAGAUAAAUUGAGAUAAUUAGCCAGACAUAAAAAUACAACAUCAGAUUAUAGCUAAAGUAUUAGCUUAUAUGGCAAUGAAGAUAGACCACAGAGCCUUUGAGAGAGGCCACGAUAGGCCGGACAGUGAGAGAGAGAGGCAGGCCACGAUAGGCCGGACAGUGAGGCAGAGAGACAGGCCACGAUAGGCCGGACAGUGAGGCAGAUAGACAGGCCACGAUAGGCCGGACAGUGAGGCAGAGAGACAGGCCACGAUAGGCCGGACAGUGAGGCAGAGAGGCAGGCCACGAUAGGCCGGACAGUGAGGCAGAGAGGCAGGCCACGAUAGGCCGGACAGUGAGGCAGAGAGGCAGGCCACGAUAGGCCGGACAGUGGGAACGGCCCCGGCGGGCCACAGUGGGAACGGCCCCGGCGGGCCACAGUGGGAACGGCCCCGGCGGGCCACAAAAAGAAAGCCACGAAGGCCGCAGAGAAAAGGCCUAGCUAGCCCGCAGAGGAGGAUGUCCAAAUUGACCAUAGUGAGAAAGCCAAGAGGCCGUAGAAUGAAGUGAAAUGCAGUAUGCACAGAGAG